UGGUGGGUUGCCUUGUCAGGUUGAUUCCGGUAACGAACGAGACCUCAGCCUGCUAAAUAGUCUCAGUUGCUUUUUGCAGCUGGCUGACUUCUUAGAGGGACUAUUGGCGUUUAGUCAAUGGAAGUAUGAGGCAAUAACA
rnacentral:rRNA from 1 species